ACUACAGGUGAUCAAUUCUUACUCUUCUGCAGCAGUUUUUACUUACCAGCCUUUGACUUCAUCUUUGGAAUUGGCUGUAAACCCCACUUGUCCUUAUGCAUUUUGAUUGAAGUUUAAAUUCUGUUUCCCUGUUAAGUGAGACUGGAAAGAUCCUAUUGCAUUAUAUCAUUGCACUCUGAUGAAUGUCAACAGUCAUAAGAAGCUAAGAAAAUAUUUUUCGAGGAUGUAAGUUAAAUCUGUCUUGCUGAUGAAAAAGAAGAAAUAUUCACACUGCAAGAAGAAAUCGGAGUGUAUUUCCUUGGUUGAUGUGGCCUAUCUUACUGUCAUAGUCUGCCGCUUUUAUUCCCAGAUGAGAUGUUUCUCAGUCAUGACUUCUGAAGACUUACAGCCUUCCUGGGCUCCCAAGAUCCAAGGAUGCCCUCUUACCUUGUCUUUUAUCUUUCUUGGAAACAUUUAAAAGAAAACUGGAAAACUGCAGUGAUACAUGAACAAUUCACAGCUUUCUCAGCAGGAAAAUUGGCCUCUUUACAUUGGAAGACCUCUGGCUGUGGUGUUUGCAUUUCAGAGCCUUUCUGUGGGAAAUGAAUUUGUAGAAAAUUCUCAAAGCCUGACAGAAGGCUCACAUAUUCAGGUCAGACACGGAACUGACAAAUUCCAAGGCAGGCAACACCCAGAAACCACCAUUCAGAGGAGGACAAUGCAGUGCCAGGAAUUGGAGACUUUGCCAUUGGCAUCAAAAAGGAGGACACAUCAAGAUAAGCCAUCAGUCCUCCUCCCGGAAGCAGCGGAGCUGUGAGCGCCUGACCAUCACGCUUAUCAUAGGAGGGGAACGCCUGCCCAUUCAGAAUUUCAUUUUCCAUUCACCCACUGGAGGAGAGAAAUUAACACUUCUCCCUCCCAGAGGAGACCACAUUCAGCAGACCAACGACAGUGAUGCAUUUGAAUAACCACUCCAAGAAAACAAAGAACUGUGGGGAAAUUCUAUUCCAGGGGCGAAAUAAACCAUAUAAAACCUGGACCCUAGAUGGGGCCAAUUCAUGAACUGUGGGGGAUUGCAGUGCGAUAGAGGCUGCUUUCCAGUUCACCCUUUGACGAUCCCGGGUUAUCAUCACGGUAACUCUGCUUGUUGGUUUUACCAAAAUUCUGUAAUUCUAUUUUUUUAAUAAACCAAAUUAUAUUUAAUUUGCAAAGUGGAUUGGCAUUUAUAACACCACGAUAUUACCUGGUAGCUCACUGGGAGAAAAGAGAGGGAGGGCUCGAACAAAACUUCAGUUUUAUAUGGGUAUUACCAAAAGUCGCAUUCUGUUUUCUCAGUGGUCAAACCACAUGCCAAGAGUCAAGAACUGGCCCUUGAUAGGUCCUUGUCUUUUUUGAAGGAAAUCUAAGGUCUUGACUAGGCAAUAGUCCAUAUGCUUUUUCAACUAAAAGCCAAACUGUGUUGAACCAUAACACUUAGAAAUUCCAUGGAAUAGGACAGAUAUUGUUGAGAGAGAAAUGGCACUGGAAACAAGUUUCAAUUGAUGGCCUUGCAAAUAAGACUAGAUAUUAUGGAGAAACAGAACUAUGAAAGAUGCAUUGUAGUAGGACCCAUGAGGGGUAAUUUUAGAUGAUUGGCUUUAAGGCACUAGCAGCAUUGUGUGGCAAAAGCUGAUAGGUCAAAAAACGCUUAUAAUGUAUUGUAAUUAGGAAAUAGUUGGCUUCUGAUUGUGUGAUGGUGUGAAUUGUAACAUCUGUAUUGUCUCACCCUUCACAUGAGACUGAAAAUGGAAUAAAUGUUUUUAAAAUGCCUCUCAGUUGCCCACAUCUCUGGGUCAGAAAAGGCUAUAAUCCAAGACCUUUCCACCUGUUUUUGAUAAGCUGGGUGAAAUAGAUCAGUAAGUAACAUGACUUUGAUAAGAUUGUAUGUAGUCAGGAGUUAACAAAUAAGUGAAUUUCCAGUUCAAUUUGAGCAACUCUAUGGCGAAUACGACCCAAGAAUUAACAGACUAUUAACUCAACACUCAUCAGUAUAUGCUAGCAGAUGAAAAUGUUUCACAUAUGAACUAGGUGUUCUGUUCAAAAAUAGAUGUUUAAUAUUUUUGCAGUAGAAUAAAGAGUAGCUUCAUGUUGAGCUAGGGCACUGACUGGGAGAAUUGUGCUGUGUUAACUUGAUGUUACUCAAAAGUUGCUGUUCCCAUUGGGAACACAUUUUUGUGUACUAGACCAUCCAUCCUACCACCUUCUAUCAGCAAAGGAAAUACUGUCAAGUAAUUCCAUCCUCUGUUCAAAAUACCUUUCAGAGACGAUUUUGAUUCUGAUCCUGCAGAGACUUAACAACUUGGUUAAUUCUGACCAUUGCACAUGAACAGAGAAGUCAAUUUGAGACCUGCCUAUUUGGCAUGAAAGAACUAUAAGAUACAUGUUAAUGUGUGAUUUCCAUGUGGGCUGAUCCAAUUAGGUCAUAUUUAGCAUAUUGUCAUUCAUUAAAAAGAGGAGUCCAGCUCAGUUACCUGAGUGCUCAGUCAGAAUAAUUGUCCCUAAAUGAAGAUCAGAGGCUUUUGUUUUUCAUUACAUUCUCUAAGUUAUACACACUGUAGCAGCUGUAAGAAAUUUGGCUUGAGUCCUACCAUGGUUUGGAGUACUUUUUCUCCAUCUCUGCUGUUAAUGCAGCAUUAAAUCUUUCGGCCAAUGUUCCUCAGAAGAUGAGAGAAGAGGAAUGGGGCAGAGCAAGAAGGUGAAGUACUUUAAUGUCUUGAAUGGCAUGUUCUUCUGUCUUUAUUACCUGGUUAUAAUAAUGAUAAAAUUGUUGACCUCUUCAAAUAAAAAUCUGU